rnacentral:lncRNA from 1 species
UCUCAUUGAUUGAAAAAAAUGAAGUCAAUAUGACUUAUUUAUACAAAAGAGAAAGAAAGCAAAACGAAAGCUUGUAAACCAAACAACUAAUACAAACCUAACUAAGUAAUAACUUACUAACCACCAAUCAUCUUAUAAAAUAACCUCUAAAAUAUCUUCGAUUUACAAAGUCAGUAUAUCAUCCACCACUCCAUCGUAUUACUUUUUUCAAGAGUUAAUGAUUAUUAAACAUAAAUAGUGAAUGAUACAAUAACAAUAUAUAAAACUCAUCAUAUAUUGUCAGUACAUACAUUUUUUUCUAUAUCAUAAUCCCAUAGUACACUAGCAAGAAAUGGUGCUUUUCUAACAAAAGAUUAAAAAUGUAUGAGGUAAAAAUAAUGCCAAAGUAGCAGGCUCAGGUUAAUGCUUAAUUUAUCAGUUUAUCCAAUAAAGUCUAGAUAGAAAUGUAAUACCAAAGUAUCUUGUAGAUGGGAAGUGAAUUGUUAAAAAGCAUCUAACGCAGUGAACUUUAAUGCAUGGUGUCAAGACCAUCAAAGUGUAUGUUAGGAGAUAUAUAUUGGGUAGCAUAACAAACUCAAAUAUAAUACUUAAGCAAUAGAGUUUUCUCACCUAAUAGACUAGUCUUUUGAAUUGAGCUCUACUCAUAUACUUAAGUCCUAAUAAUUGGUACUACUUUAAUUGAGAGUCGGAAAGACUACCUAUAGGUUGGAUUAAUGUAUAUCACCAAAUAUUGAUAGGGCUAUCAUUGGAUCUAUGUCGAUAGAGUGAAAGUUGUUGUGGAUGUUAGCCUUUAAAGGGGUGGCAAUGUUAGGAAUCUCACAUUGGAUAGUAUAUCAAACUCAAUGUCGUACUUAAGUCAUGAGGCUCUCCCACUUAUAGACUAAUUUUUUUGGUUGAACUCUCCUCAUGUGUUUAAGUCGUAAGAGUGUAACUAUAUUGUAACGUUCUGCCCAGUAAUAUCAUUCACUUAUCCAUAAACAACAUAUCAACAAUAAAGCAAAUUGAAGGAGGAAAUGCAAAACAUACAUGAAUAAGGGAAUCAACCACAAAGGAAGCAUGAGAUCCUAUUUGCUAGAGAGUAUACAUGGAAAUGGUAGUGUUUGAAAUGUAGCCAUUUGAUCUAUAAGACAAUGCAUAACUGAACCAAGAACUCAGCAUCACAAAGCCAACAAAUUAUAGAGAAAAAGCAUAUCUAAAGUGAGCUAUUAUGUGCCAAUAACUGCAGCAGCAAUCCAACAAAGUUGAUGCCAAAAAUGAGAACUGAACAAAAAUUGGUUCAUUCUGACUCAAUCAAACAGAAAAUAAAUAUCAGGUUUCAUAACAAAUAUACAUUCCUUUUACUCUUCAAUCAUGACAGCAUUAAAAAACACAUGAAUGAAAUUAACAGAUAUACAUCCUUAAUAAACACAUGAUUGAAACUAAUUUGAUAUUUUGGUAUGUUUAAGAUCAUAAAAACACUGAACAUGAUUGACUUGGCAAAACUAGAAUAUUACAUCCAUAAAAUGAAACCAAGCCGCAAAUUAAAACAAUAACAACAAUGGUAACUGGUAACCGUUUAGUUAAGCACAUUGUUUCAAAUUCUAGAUCACAUCACCUGAUGCUGAUGCAGCUGUAUUAUUGAAGAAUCGUAGCACACCACAAUUGUGAGUUUGCGACGUGACACUGAAUCACAAUUAUAUGGCCAUAACACAAACUGAUCAGACUGUACUUGGACCACAUCGAACCGCAUCAAAUUCAAAAUAUAUUUUUUUAAUCACGAAUAAAUUCACACUAAAAUGGCCACAAUCGCAGGAAUCGCGUCCACACUUUAAUAAAACACGGGUUAAACAUAUGCCUACUUCACUAUGAGGUCUCUCUAUUGCAUAAGUCAUAAUCAACCAUGAAGUCAUGUCUCUGAAGCAUAUGAUCAUGACACUUCUCAAGCAAACUGAGACAGUUAUAGCAUCACUAACUUAGUAUCUAAAUUAAAAUCAAAACAAAAAAUGCUAUGCUAAUAGCAAGAACAGCAAUUAAAGGAACAAAAUUUUGAUUACAAUCUAAAUGAGCUAUAACUAGGACAGUGAAUAAAUCAGUUAGCAUAUGUUUAUGUAAUCAUAGACACAAAUCCCAGACUCUCAGCACAGCUACAGUGUAAUGUGCUGCACCAGGAGAAUGCUGGACAUGUCUAUAUCAGAAGUACCUGCCACAAAUCAUCACUUUUAUAAACUGUCCCAUGUCACUAACUAUAAUUUUACCUAACAAAAUAAUACAUCCUUCUACAAAUCCUCUCAUACCAUCAAAAAUUAUUCGGACUCCGGCUUAUGAGAAGAAUCUAAGCCAAAAGACUAAUCUACUAGGUGAGACAUCUUCAUGGUUUAAGUGUCAUAUUGAGUUUGUUAUUUUACUCAACCUAAACUCCUAACCAUUGUCGUCCCAUCUAAGGGCUGACAUCCCCGGAAGCUUGCACUAUAUUGACACUAAUGCGAUGAUAGUCCUUUCUCUCUGUUUUUUUUUUGGCGACUUCACUUACCUAUGAGUAUUCGGUAAUAUAACUUAAUUCAACAUGUAGGUAGCUCUUUUCAGUAACACAACUCAAUGAAAAACACCAAAAUGACUUAAAGUAACAUGUGUCCUACGGUGUGUCACAAAGUAAUAUUUACUUAUUUAUGUAAUGAUCUAAUAGAAGAAUAUAUCAUUACACUUUUAACUAUCUUUUUUAAAAGAAAAAGUCAAAAAACUAGUGUUGAAAAAUGACUAAUAAAUCAAAAUAAUUUUUUUAAAUGAUGAAAGUAAUAAUGAAAUAUCUCAGAUGAGUAAGGCAAAUAAACAUCAAAUCCAGGUAAAAAAAACCACCAGCAGCAGUAAACUGGGCAGUAAUUGGACCAGGAUCUGCCAUGUCAUUCUUCAUUGACUGGGUUUUGUAAAACAACUAUGUUAUAUAUUUUAUCCGUGUUAUAAAUUUCACACCCAACUGCAACUUUGCGGCCAUAAUAUUGAAAUUGCAAUAUUGUAGCCGCAUCGACCACGUUUUCCGGCAAAUAAAAAAAAGUAAUAAUUACAUGGAAAUUAGAAAUGAAAGAGAAGUAUAAAGUGGGAUGAUAUGUACUAUACACUGGUGUGGAGCAAAAUCUUGGUUUUCAAUGUUGUUGCUGUCUCCUCAGUGAGUGAGAUGGGGGCGGCUUUCUCCCACUGUUAUUUAUAUAAAUG